rnacentral:rRNA from 1 species
UAACGACUCUCGGCAACGGAUAUCUCGGCUCUCGCAUCGAUGAAGAACGUACCGAAAUGCGAUACUUGGUGUGAAUUGCAGAAUCCCGUGAACCAUCGAGUCUUUGAACGCAAGUUGCGCCCUAAGCUGUUAGGCUGAGGGCACGUCUGCCUGGGUGUCACG